rnacentral:rRNA from 1 species
AACGCUGCGGCAAGCUUAACACAUGCAAGUCGAACGAAUUGUAGCUGUAGUUUACUAUGGGUACAGUUAGUGGCAGACGGGUGAGUAAUGCAUAGGAAUCUGCCUAGUAGUAUGGAAUAGCUGUUAGAAAUGACAGGUAAUACCGUAUAAUCCCUGCGGGGGAAAGAUUUAUCGCUAUUAGAUGAGCCUAUGUUAGAUUAGCUAGUUGGUAAGGUAAUGGCUUACCAAGGCUAUGAUCUAUAGCUGGUCUGAGAGGACGAUCAGCCACACUGGAACUGAGAUACGGUCCAGACUCCUACGGGAGGCAGCAGUGGGGAAUAUUGGACAAUGGGCGCAAGCCUGAUCCAGCUAUGCCGCAUGAGUGAAGAAGGCCUUAGGGUUGUAAAACUCUUUCAGCAGGGAAGAUAAUGACGGUACCUGCAGAAGAAGUCCCGGCAAACUCCGUGCCAGCAGCCGCGGUAAA